rnacentral:rRNA from 1 species
GAUGAACGCUGGCGGCGUGCCUAAUACAUGCAAGUCGAGCGAACGGACGAGAAGCUUGCUUCUCUGAUGUUAGCGGCGGACGGGUGAGUAACACGUGGAUAACCUACCUAUAAGACUGGGAUAACUUCGGGAAACCGGAGCUAAUACCGGAUAAUAUUUUGAACCGCAUGGUUCAAAAGUGAAAGACGGUCUUGCUGUCACUUAUAGAUGGAUCCGCGCUGCAUUAGCUAGUUGGUAAGGUAACGGCUUACCAAGGCAACGAUGCAUAGCCGACCUGAGAGGGGGGGCGGACAAGAGUGAGUGAUGCUACGGACAGGGCUAGUACGUGAGGAAGCAGCGGGGAGUGUUAGACAAGGGGCGAAAGACUGACGAAGUAAGUUAUCGUGAAUGAAGAAGGGAGUCGGAACGUAAAACAAUCUUGGUGGGAAAGAACAGAAGGGCAAGUCACAGCGCGCAACGUGACGGUAGGAAAUCAGACAGAAGCGGAUAACUACGC